GAAACUUUACUGACUUCUUCGGAAAGAUUUAAAGCGGAUUAGUGGCGGACGGGUGAGUAACACGUGAGUAACCUGCCUUACACAAGGGGAUAGCCGUUGGAAACGACGAAUAAUACCCUAUGAAACUAUCACUUCGCAUGAAGCGAUAGUCAAAGUGUUAGCGGUGUAAGAUGGACUUGCGUCUGAUUAGCUAGUUGGUGAGAAAAAAGCCCACCAAGGCAACGAUCAGUAGCCGGCUUGAGAGAGUGUACGGCCACAUUGGGACUGGGACACGGCCCAGACUCCUACGGGAGGCAGCAGUGGGGAAUUUUGCACAAUGGGGGAAACCCUGAUGCAGCGACGCCGCGUGAUUUAGAAGGCCUUCGGGUUGUAAAAAUCUUUUGUAUAGGAAGAAAAUGACAGUACUAUACGAAUAAGGUCCGGCUAAUUACGUGCCAGCAGCCGCGGUAAUACGUAAGGACCGAGCGUUGUCCGGAAUCAUUGGGCGUAAAGGGUACGUAGGCGGGUCAUUAAGUUAGAAGUCAAAGGCUAUAGCUCAGCUAAAGUAAGCUUCUAAAACUGGAGACCUUGAGUAAUGGAAGGGAAAGUGGAAUUCCUAGUGUAGCGGUGGAAUGCGCAGAUAUUAGGAGGAAUACCGGUGGCGAAGGCGACUUUCUGGCCAU
rnacentral:rRNA from 2 species